AAUGUAAUUUUAAGGGGAGAGUGGCUUCCUAGCCAUAGAAAAGGGUGUUCUUGUUGGCUGGCACAGCUGCCUCCAUUUAGCUGAUACUGGAUUGGGAUUGGUACAGGGAGCAUUC
rnacentral:snoRNA from 1 species